AGUUUUCGCCCCAACCAUUUUCAUCCAAAAUACAAAUUCACGGAGGAGAAAGUCCCAAACUUCAUCUCUUUCUGCUACCUCAAACUGUCAUUUCUGCUCUUCUACUGCUGCCCAGAUUAUACGCUGAGCAAGGUCGUCUCUUUGUGCUCAUCUACUGCCAACCCACAAAGGAGCCCCAAUCGAUCUACGAAUUCACUAUCAAGGAAGAAAAUGGGUAGAUUCAUGGCAUUUUUGUACAAAAAUAAGAAGAGUAAGGGCAAGAACGAUGGAUAGUUGAGCAGCGAGGUGUCUAGUAUCUUGGGUGAUGAUGUAUUGGCCAGAUUUGUGGAGCCAGAUGAGCAAGAGAUGGGAAUCUGGGAUAUGCAACUCUCCUAGUAAUUGCUAUCGGUGGACUUGCAGGAGGUCGAGUUGUGGCUCUGGUAGUCACAAUUUCAUGGUGUUUCAUGAUAAAGUUGACUAGUAAGUGACUG